rnacentral:tRNA from 1 species
GGCGGUAUAGCUCAGUUGGCAGAGCAGGCGGCUCAUACCCGCUAUGUCCCUGGUUCGACUCCAGGUACCGCCU